GCAGGGCUGGAGAGAGAGCUGCUGGUGAAGACCCAUGCACUGAACGUAAAGAAGCCACGCAAACUCUGCACUUAAUCUGGAAUCUGGAAUGGGCAGAAUCAGGAAGAGACAGUACUCUUCAGCCUGACAGGGGAAUUCUGGCUCUACAAGAACAGCUGGACAGGAAGAUCAUUGAGCUGCGAGGCAAAGGAGAUGCUCACUCCACCAUGCUGGAGCUGAUCUCUGUGAACAGUAAGAUCACAGUGAUGCAGAGGCGUAUCACCGUCCACAGCCAGGUAAUCAGGACUCAGGCUGCUGGUGAGUCCUUAUUUUGUGUCUGAUGUUUCUCCCCUCUACUUUAAUUUAAUGUAUUAUGUCAACAAAUUUCACAUGACUGUAUUAGACUAAUAUUAGGUUCAACUUAAUAUUACUGCUCUCAGCUAACCUAAUACAGUUAUGUGAAAUCUGUUGACAUAAUACAUUUAAUUAAAGUCAAGGAUUAAUUGUUUUCAUUUAAAUCUUGAUGCAUUAUACCAGUGGUCCCCAUAUUGUGUCUCAUGUAUGAAAAUGUAUGAAUGUAUGUAUGAAAAUCACUUGUAUAACUCACCCUCAAUACAAAUGCAUUAAAACUUGGCCUGAACUAGCUCGCAGGCUUUGCCCCAUUACUUGGUGGGGUGCAGGCAGCAACCUCCGAGGCCGAUAAAUGAAGCCAGCGUGGAACUGCCAAAAACUGCAAUUCCUUAAAUGGCAAUUCCUAAAAUGAGUUAAUCCUCCAUGGAGCACCAUUUUAAAAUGCCAGACUUGACACAAAAAAUAAAAAUGUUUAAAGCUAAUUUUCCCAUUCCUGACAACUGCUUUUUGUCUUUGAUCAUAUAAAGGUGUGCCUUGGAAAUACUUGUUUUGCAUCAAUCUUGAUACAGGGUA